GUCCCUGUGGCCUAAUUGGUUAAGGCGUCAGUAAAAAGACGUAGCUGUUAACCUGUAGAUUGUGAGUUCGAUUCUCACCGGGGACG
rnacentral:tRNA from 1 species